rnacentral:lncRNA from 1 species
ACUAAAAUCCCAUGCUUUAGAUUGAUUAUCCAGUGUGGGGACUAUGUGACUGAGGGGGCUCCGUGACAUCAGACUGGGAUGAUCACAGUGAAGAUGGUCUGGCGGCAGAUGGCAUGCGGACUUGUACAUGCUCAACUUUAUGGAGUUACUGACACCGGUCAUCAGGAUUAUGCAGUACCCCAUGUUUAGCAUAAGCAAAUUAACAGUGUGCUCUGAUGGGAGUCUUAGUCCCAGAGAUUGAUGCCUGGUAUUCAAAUGAAUCACAUGCCCCCUAAAAUAGAGUAGACCAAAUAUACAUUCGAGUCUUAGAGCUUUGCAGCUGGGCCUGGUGCCAAUUUGCUACACAGCUGAUUUCAAACGGGAGAAGAGGCAUUUUCUGUAGACUGCGUUCCUAAAAGCAUCCGCCUGCUGAUGAAAGUUUCUGCCCAGGUCUCAGUGUCCAGAGACAAAAGAGAGGAUGUUUGCUUCUUCCCAGCUGGAAAUUUUACGCAGGCCAUCCUUGUGUUGUUCCAGCCCGUGGCUUGAUAAUUAACCUGAGGGAAUGACCAAGAUUAGAUUUUUGUGCUCCCAGCAUGUGCCAGUAGUUGGAGGCAGGAGAUGAGUGCCAAAUUAUCCCAAAUUGAAAUUUACAGCACAUAAGUCAGAAGCAGCCAAAUUAAGCCUGGCUUUGGAAACCUUCCAGUCUUAUACGUUGAAGAACCAGAAACAAAAGAAAAAAAGAAAUACAGAUACAAGGCAAAGUUAUGCAUGCUUUUCUCUUAUUUAUCCCCCUUGCUUUGCCAGCAGAAAAGAUUUAGGGUAACUCCAAUCGAAGCUCAGUUGUAUACUUAAAUGGCUUUGGGGAUUUUUUAAAAAUUUCUCUAUAAUUGUUAAAUAGCAAAACAUUUGGAGAGACUCUUGCUAGGUUAAUUAUGCAACCAGUUGGCUUUGUGUAUUUGUAACUAUUAACUCACUCCUGCCCUUAACAAUGGUAUGAAGAUAAAAGUCAGUUUUGGGGUAGAGUCUAUUGUUGUUCCUCAAAGACAUCAGUCACCACCAACACAAUGACGUUGAGAAUGUUGGAAGUGAGGUACAGUUAGCUGAUCAGUUGCCGAUCUGCUCAUCUGGAGAAACGUAAAGCAGGGGCUUAUGGGAUUCCUUCUGGUUCCACAGACCCCAGCUCUGGGUCAUUCUUUAUGAACUGAACUGGACAGAGAUGUGCCACUGAGGUAGAUGUGCGGUUGCUUCUUAUUCAUUUUCCUCUCUUUAAUUGCCUUCAGCAUUUCACUGACCACAUGAUUUAAAAUGGAUAAGAUAUCUAAUGAUGUUUGUGUUUGAAAUCUUGCUGUCUAUCCAGGGUUUAUUGUUUUUUAAGUUCUUUGAUAGCAACGUGACUUUUACACAGAUUUCUUGUGUAACUCAGUUCAAUCACGUUUUCUGUUUUGUAUUUGAUAAAGAGAGCUGCUUUAGUCCCUGUUUCUAGUACAUAAUUCUGCAUAAAAUAUCCCAUUCCCUGAUGUGGGACUUAAUUGCAGUAAUUCUUCAAGCAUCUCCCACUUCUUUCCCAUGCCCUAAAAAUAAUAAUAGAAAUGAACACAUUUGUGUUUGAAUUGGCUCUUCCUUAAAUUAUUGUAUGCUUAAUCUCUGGUGUAACAAAG